rnacentral:lncRNA from 1 species
CCCAUGGUAGCGGGUCUAGAGCAAAUGGAGCACCAGGCGGAGAGGAGGAUGACAAGGAGGAUGAAUUUGAGGAUGCGAUGGCUGGUGAUGAGUCUGAUUUAGAUGAGGACUUGCGCUGUGGGCAUCUACUGAUGGAUGCCAACACUUAGACAGGGAUUUUUCUUUUUCUUCUAUACUUUUGUUUUUUUUAGAUUAGGAGAACUUUAUCUUUUUUGUCUAUGCUUGGCUUGUACACUGGUUCUGAUGAUGGUUUGAUUUUAUUGCAUGAUGAGUUAUCCAAUGAUGAUGAUUGAAUGUGG